GAACGCACAUUGCGCCUCCGGGUAUUCCUGGAGGCAUGCCUGUUCGAGCGUCGUUUAAACCAUAAGGCUUUGCCUUGCGAUGACACUUGGGUUUCCGUAAGGGAGUCCAUAUGUUCAAACAUAUUGGCAUUUGAAGUUGGCCCAACGCAGCAAAAUGUGUGACGUCCUUCGAAAUGAUGCCUGUAUUUCAAAAGAAAUGGAUUUGGAAACGGAAACAUUUUUUUUUACAUAUUGGUCGACCUCGGAUCAGGCAAGAUUACCCGCUGAACUUAAG
rnacentral:misc_RNA from 1 species